AAAUUGAAGAGUUUGAUCAUGGCUCAGAUUGAACGCUGGCGGCAGGCCUAACACAUGCAAGUCGAACGGUAACAGGAAGCAGCUUGCUGCUUUGCUGACGAGUGGCGGACGGGUGAGUAAUGUCUGGGAAACUGCCUGAUGGAGGGGGAUAACUACUGGAAACGGUGGCUAAUACCGCAUAACGUCGCAAGACCAAAGAGGGGGACCUUCGGGCCUCUUGCCAUCAGAUGUGCCCAGAUGGGAUUAGCUUGUUGGUGAGGUAACGGCUCACCAAGGCGACGAUCCCUAGCUGGUCUGAGAGGAUGACCAGCCACACUGGAACUGAGACACGGUCCAGACUCCUACGGGAGGCAGCAGUGGGGAAUAUUGCACAAUGGGCGCAAGCCUGAUGCAGCCAUGCCGCGUGUAUGAAGAAGGCCUUCGGGUUGUAAAGUACUUUCAGCGGGGAGGAAGGUGUUGUGGUUAAUA
rnacentral:rRNA from 1 species